GACGAACGCUGGCGGCGUGCCUAAUACAUGCAAGUCGAACGCAGUGGGGACGGGGGAGUAACACGUGGGUAACCUCCCAUCAGAGGGGAUAACACUUGGAAACAGGUGCUAAACCGAUACUGAUGGAUGAACCCGCGGUGGAUUAGCUAGUUGGUGGGGUAACGGCUCACCAAGUCCACGAUGCAUAGCCGACCUGAGAGGGUGAUCGGCCACACUGGAACUGAGACACGGCCCAGACUCCUACGGGAGGCAGCAGUGGGGAAUCUUGGACAAUGGGCGAAAGUCUGACCCAGCAACGCCGCGUGUGUGAAGAAGGUUUUCGGGUCGUAAAGCUCUGUUGUUAGAGAAGCGGUAUCUAAACAGAAAGCCCCGGCUAACUACGUGCCAGCAGCCGCGGUAAUAC
rnacentral:rRNA from 1 species